rnacentral:lncRNA from 1 species
GCAUUGCUCGUCCUCGGAACAUUUUGGCACCGCCUUCGUGCACUGAGCGCUCUGUGGACCACCCGUCCUCAGGAUCCCGCCUAAGCCAAUCGACUCCAGGACAGCGUUUCAGGAAAAGAAGGCCUUCAUUGCUGGAAAGAGUCCCCUGCGAGCGAGCAAGGCAGGAACUAAAACUUGCUGCUGUCAGUUCUGUUAACUGCAUUGGAUGUGCCUACUGUAAUCAAGGACUCCCAAGUUCGGAUCAUUGUGAAUAUAGCGAUAAGCUGCGCGUGCGAUAAAUAGCUAGGCACGGUAGUUCUUCCGCGGCGCGCGAUGUUAUUGUAUACAUAGUAAAUGUCUUUCCGGUGACGCUCGCAUUGCAGGCUUCAUUUGAAUGGAGUUUGCAGCAUGAUUCGGCUUGUGUAAAUUUCUGCUAAUUUGAAAGUAGUUGCCCGGUGUUGUUGUAUCUGAUGGAAGGAAACUCCCAAUCAUUAUAUCGAGUACAACCUUUUUUUUUUUUUUUGGUCAGUGAGUACAACUUUAUUUUGGGAGAGUAAAUUGAGUUUUGAUGUUGAGAGGAAAUGGGCCGUUUGAGAAAGUG